rnacentral:rRNA from 1 species
UGAGGAAUAUUGGUCAAUGGGCGCAGGCCUGAACCAGCCAAGUCGCGUGAGGGAAGACGGUCCUACGGAUUGUAAACCUCUUUUGUCGGGGAGCAACGCUGCGGACGUGUCCGCAGGUGAGAGUACCCGGAGAAAAAGCAUCGGCUAACUCCGUGCCAGCAGCCGCGGUAAUACGGAGGAUGCGAGCGUUAUCCGGAUUUAUUGGGUUUAAAGGGUGCGCAGGCGGCGUGCCAAGUCAGCGGUCAAAGUUCCGGGCUCAACCCGGUGAUGCCGUUGAAACUGGUGUGCUUGAGUGCGUGCGAGGGAGGCGGAAUGCGUUGUGUAGCGGUGAAAUGCAUAGAUAUGACGCAGAACUCCGAUUGCGAAGGCAGCUUUCCAGCACGCCACUGACGCUGAGGCACGAAAGCGUGGGGAUCGAACAGGAUUAGAUACCCUGGUAGU